rnacentral:rRNA from 1 species
GGGAAGGCCCUUCGGGGGCAGGGAGACAGGUGGUGCAUGGUUGUCGUCAGCUCGUGUCGUGAGAUGUUAGGUUAAGUCCUGCAACGAGCGCAACCCUUAUCAUUAGUUGCUACCAUUAAGUUGAGCACUCUAGUGAGACUGCCCGGGUUAACCGGGAGGAAGGUGGGGAUGACGUCAAAUCAUCAUGCCCCUUAUGUCUAGGGCUACACACGUGCUACAAUGGUGAGUACAGAAAGAUGCAAGACCGUGAGGUGGAGCAAAACUUUUAAAACUCAUCUCAGUUCGGAUUGUAGGCUGAAACUCGCCUACAUGAAGCUGGAGUUGCUAGUAAUCGCGAAUCAGCAUGUCGCGGUGAAUACGUUCCCGGGCCUUGUACACACCGCCCGUCACACCAUGAGAGCUGGCAACACCCGAAGUCCGUGAGGUAACCGUAAGGAGCCAGCGGCCGAAGGUGGGGUUAGUAAUUGGGGUGAAGUCGUAACAAGGUAGCCGUAGGAGAACCUGCGGCU